GUGAGGAAUAUUGCGCAAUGGAGGCAACUCUGACGCAGCCAUGCCGCGUGCAGGAAGAAGGCGCUACGCGUUGUAAACUGCUUUUAACCGGGAAGAAACCCCAGGACGUGUCCUGGGUUGACGGUACCGGAGGAAUAAGCACCGGCUAACUUCGUGCCAGCAGCCGCGGUAAUACGAAGGGUGCAAGCGUUAUCCGGAUUCAUUGGGUUUAAAGGGUGCGUAGGCGGAGCGUUAAGUCAGUGGUGAAAGCCUGCAGCUUAACUGUAGACUUGCCAUUGAUACUGGCGCUCUUGAGUGCGCUUGAAGUGGGCGGAAUGUGCCGUGUAGCGGUGAAAUGCUUAGAUAUGGCACAGAACACCAAUUGCGAAGGCAGCUCACUAAGGCGAUACUGACGCUGAGGCACGAAAGCGUGGGGAUCGAACAGGAUUAGAAACCCGAGUAGUCC
rnacentral:rRNA from 1 species